AUUGAACGCUGGCGGCAGGCCUAACACAUGCAAGUCGAACGAGUGGCGGACGGGUGAGUAAUGUCUGGGAAACUGCCCGAUGGAGGGGGAUAACUACUGGAAACGGUAGCUAAUACCGCAUACCAUCGGAUGUGCCCCGAUGGGAUUAGCUAGUAGGUGGGGUAAUGGCUCACCUAGGCGACGAUCCCUGGCUGGUCUGAGAGGAUGACCUGCCACACUGGACCUGAGACAAGGCCCAGACUCAUAAGGGUGGUAGCAGUGGAGAAUAUUGCAAAAUGGGCGCAAGCCUGAUGCAGCCAUGCCGCGUUUAUGAAGAAGGCCUUCGGGUUGUAAAGUACUUGCAGCGAGGAGGCGUUACUCGCAGAAGAAGCACCGGCUAACUCCGUGCCAGCAGCCGCGGUAAUAC
rnacentral:rRNA from 1 species